GAUGAAGAACGUAGCGAAAUGCGAUAAGUAAUGUUAAUUGCAGAAUUCAGUGAAUCAUCGAAUCUUUGAACGCACAUUGCGCCCAUUAGUAUUCUAGUGUGCAUGCCUGUUCGAGCGUCAUUAAUUCCACUUAAGCCCUGCUUAGUGUUGGGAAUCUACUCUAGUGGUGCUACCCUGGAGCUACCCCUGAAAGGGGGCUGGCCCGGUAGCUACCCUGUAGUUCCUCAAAGAUAGUGCGCGGAGUUGCGUGGUCCUCUGAGCUUAGUAACUAUACACCUAGCUUUUGAGUGUCCCGCGGCGCCUGCCGUUUAAACCCCAUCUUUUAAUGGUUGACCUCGGAUCAGGUAGGAAUACCCGCUGAACUUAAGCAUAUCAAUAAGCGGAGGA
rnacentral:misc_RNA from 1 species